rnacentral:tRNA from 1 species
GGGGCUCAGGCUCAGUGGUAGAGCGCUUGCCUCACACGUAUGAGGCACUGGGUUCAAUCCUUAGUGCCACA